rnacentral:rRNA from 1 species
AUUGGAUUGAGAACAACGUACAAACCUUAUCGAUAAACAAUUGGAGGGCAAGUCUGGUGCCAGCAGCCGCGGUAAUUCCAGCUCCAAUAGCGUAUAUUAACGUUGUUGCAGUUAAAAAGCUCGUAGUUGAAACGAAGGGUGGUGUUGUUGGGUUUACAUUCGUGUACUUCUUUCAACUCCCUCCCUCCUUCUAAAUUCGAUAUAUGAGUAUUAAUUUACUUGUAUAUGGUUUUAGACAUUUACUGUGAGAAAAUUAGAGUGUUCAAAGCAGGCAUUUGCUUGAAUAUAUUAGCAUGGAAUAAUCAUGUAUGAUUUUCAUG